GGGUAGUGGGCGGCUUGGUUUCCGGGUUGAAGAAGGACGGAGGGAAAUUAGAAAGGUGGUGCGAAAUUCCAGGAUUUGUGAAUCCAAGAAUAUUCGAAAUCCUUUUUCUUCCUUUCCCGCCUUUGGGGUGCCAGGGGGGGGUUGGCC
rnacentral:rRNA from 1 species